rnacentral:rRNA from 1 species
UACGUAGGGGGCAAGCGUUGUCCGGAAUUAUUGGGCGUAAAGAGCGUGUAGGCGGUCCGGUAAGUCGGCUGUGAAAGUCCAGGGCUCAACCCUGGGAUGCCGGUCGAUACUGCCGGACUAGAGUUCGGAAGAGGCGAGUGGAAUUCCCGGUGUAGCGGUGAAAUGCGCAGAUAUCGGGAGGAACACCUAUGGCGAAGGCAGCUCGCUGGGACGUUACUGACGCUGAGACGCGAAAGCGUGGGAGCAACAGG